rnacentral:rRNA from 1 species
UGGGGAAUAUUGCACAAUGGGCGAAAGCCUGAUGCAGCAACGCCGCGUGAGCGAUGAAGGCCUUCGGGUUGUAAAGCUCUGUCUUUGGGGAAGAAUAAAUGACGGUACCCAAGGAGGAAGCCACGGCUAACUACGUGCCAGCAGCCGCGGUAAUACGUAGGUGGCAAGCGUUGUCCGGAAUUACUGGGCGUAAAGAAUGCGUAGGCGGCUUUUUAAGUGGGAUGUGAAAUCCCUGGGCUCAACCCAGGAACUGCAUUCCAAACUGGAGAGCUAGAGUGCGGGAGAGGAAAUUGGUAUUCCCAGUGUAGCGGUGAAAUGCGUAGAGAUUGGGAGGAACACCAGUAGCGAAGGCGAAUUUCUGGAACGUAACUGACGCUGAGGCAUGAAAGCGUGGGGAGCA